UCGUGUUUUCUGUAUUCGUUCUGUGUCUUAGUGCACUGGGACCUGUUACAACUAUCAGACUGGAUGGACAUGGGUACACUGACAUCCUUAUAGUCAUCAGCCCUGCUGUGCCAGAGAAUGAAGAACUUAUCAAUCAAAUUAAGGAAAUGCUUAUCAGUGGAUCAGAAUAUCUGUUUGAAGCUUUAGACCACAAGGUGUUCUUUAAGGAGGUGAAAAUACUAGUGCCACCAACCUGGAAAACAAGUAUGAGACAGCGAAAACAGAUUCCUUCAGCAAGGGCAGAAUAAGAAUUGACAGGCUUAUGACCAGAGAAACACCACUGACACUGCUAACACAAUCACUUUAACUGUUCCAGGAACUGCAGAACCAGGAGAUUGGAAAUACAGCUUCCUCGACAGAGAAACAGCUGCUCAGCAGAUGAGUUUAACAGUAAUGAGUCGAGCAGCUCGUGAAGAUGUUCCCCCAGUCACAGUUACAGUUAGAAUGACCAAGCAGAGUCGUGAUGGCUCCAAACCCAUGGUCGUGUUGGCUGAGGUCAGGCAGAAUUACACUCCUGUGUUGGGGGCCAGAGUUUGGACAACCAUGGAGUCAGAUACAGGGCACUCAGAAAAACUGGAGCUCUUUGAUAAUGGAGCAAGUACAGUACAACUUUUAAAAUGUCAACUUGCAACUUUUGAAAGGUGAAAGUUUUAAACUUUACACACUACAUGUGGGAUAACUUUUUCAGGUGCUGAUGCUUUCAAAGACGAUGGAGUCUAUACCAAAUAUUCUACAAAAUAAAAAAUGGGAAAAUACAGUUUAAAAGUGCGAGUGGAAAAUCAAGAUGGACAAGUCCUGUAUUCAUUACACAGACACAGUGGUUCUCUGUAUGUCCCUGGAUAUAUUGUUGAUGGUAACUAUGAUUUACUAUCAUCACUCAGUCUGAAUUGACACUUAUAAAAAAUACCUAAUGACAUCUAAUUUUUGCACACACACUGAUUCAAUUACAGUCACUUAUUGACUGUCCCACUUGUUCACUCAUUGAAUUAUGUUUUUAAUUAUUUAAAUGUAGCAAGCAGAAAACUUUCUACAAGGAGGAGGAGCUAUUAGCAUUUCUGAGUAGUAUAGAGAGUAAGAUGAAUUGUUUGUUGGGGACAAAGGGCAUACAGAGUGGGACAUCAAGAUCCUACAGAACUUUGUAUCAUGCAGGAUGGGAAUGAAGCAAAGAAGUGCCCAUACUGUAUGUUGAUAAAGUUAGGUUUAAAUACAAAAUCAAACAAUGUUGAAUUUGUGAAAAUGUUACAGUUUAUUAUUAUAUCCAUUUAUAUUCUCCGUGUUGAAUAGAUGAAAUCAUUAGUAAAUAAUAUUGAUAGAAAUGUGACAACUUUAACAAGUUUAGUGUAUAUUUGUUUCACAAUAGUCAGGAUAGCGGUCUUCACAUAAUUAAAAUUUAAUUUCUUCUUCUUUUCUGACAAUAAAAGUCUUAGAGGAGGUGGUAUAAUUAGUUGUUAGUGACAAAAACAGGCAACAUAACCAGCAGGAGAUUUUAUAAACUGUUAUUUAAAGUCUGGAUUGAAUACAAUUAAUGGACAUGAUAGUAGAAAUGAAGGGAGUGCAAUAACUGUCGUUUAAGGUGUUCUGGCAGAUCACACACAGAGAACUUAAUGUCAGUUUAGAGAGUAGACAGUAACAGAGAACUAGAGUAGCAGGUGAGUCACACACUAAUCUUUAUGGCUAGCCAUCAGGGGCAGAUAUGUGAAGACCGCCGUUGACCCAGUUGAGCCUUUGAGGAAAAAGCCUGAAGGCCAACAUGCAGUUUGACACGUUGUAUCUCUUCAAUCUUAAGAGAAAUAAUUGUCAUUUACAGCCUCUUUACAGGUAAAUUGGCAUUAAACCCCACUAACCCCCCAGUAACUGUGCAGAGAGAG